rnacentral:rRNA from 1 species
AGUGAACGCUGGCGGUAGGCCUAACACAUGCAAGUCGAACGGCAGCACAGUAAGAGCUUGCUCUUACGGGUGGCGAGUGGCGGACGGGUGAGGAAUACAUCGGAAUCUACUUUUUCGUGGGGGAUAACGUAGGGAAACUUACGCUAAUACCGCAUACGACCUACGGGUGAAAGCAGGGGAUCUUCGGACCUUGCGCGAUUGAAUGAGCCGAUGUCGGAUUAGCUAGUUGGCGGGGUAAAGGCCCACCAAGGCGACGAUCCGUAGCUGGUCUGAGAGGAUGAACAGCCCACAUUGAACCGGAGCACGGGUCAAACCCCUACCGGAGGCCGGCGUGGGGAAUAUUGGGCCAUGGGCCGAAGCCUUAUCCAGGCAAACCGGGUGGGUUGAAAAGGGCUUCCGGUUUUAAAGCCCUUUUGUUGGGAAAGAAAAGCAGCAGGUUAAUACCCCGCUGUUCUGACGGUACCCAAAGAAUAAGCACCGGCUAACUUCGUG